CUGGAAUUAAAAUAACAUAUAUUUAGUCAUAUUGGUGCAUAUCUUUCAACUGUCUCCUGCUUAGCUUUUAGUUUUGAACUUUCCCAUAGAAAUCACUUUCAGUGCUUGAGAACUAUGUUCUUCCUUGAAGCAGAAACAUUAGAAAGAAAAAUAUCUCUGCCUUGGUAAACGCGAUGAGAGAACAUGGAUAUGUCUGAAGCAAUACUGAUACUUAGNUAAGGCGAGCGGAGGAGCUAGCUAGGCAGGGAGAGGUCUCCUGUGCGGAGCUGCUGUGGCGCUGGCCGCGCGGUGAUCCUCUCCCUGGCGGACCGGGAGGGUUGGCGACCAGCGGCUCCAGGACGGGACGGGCGCGUCGGCGUAGGGGAGAGAACAGCAGGCGGACGACAAGCAGCCGACUCCGCUCCCUUCAGGCGGCUCCCGCUCGCGGUGACGUCAGCGCCCCGCUCCUCAGUCGGCGGUGCGGGGCGGUGCGGAGCGGAGCGCCCGGGACUCCGCGCGCGGUAAGCAGCCGUCGCGCCGCAGAAGGGCCGCCCGGCGCCGCCUCCUCCCCUCCGUCCCUCCCUUCUUCAGUGCCGGCUGGCCUCCGCGCUGCCUCAUGUUCGGGCUGGAGAAGCCGCCGGGGCAGCAAAAGCUGGGCAGGAGCAGUGGGUUCCCGAACAUGGCGUCCGUGGGGGAUUUUAACGUGCUCAGCUCCAGCAUCCCGGCCACCAAGGUAGAGCUCUCCGUGUCCUGCAGAAAUCUUUUGGACAGAGAUACAUUUUCUAAAUCUGAUCCAAAGGUGUGGUCCCAGUCCUGGAAUGUACUUUUGGAAGCACUGGGAAGCCGCUGGGGAUGGAGGGGAGCAGAAGCCCACUAAUGACUCAGCAAUGAGAAGGUGAGAAGGA
rnacentral:lncRNA from 1 species